rnacentral:rRNA from 1 species
UACGUAGGAGGCAAGCGUUGUCCGGAAUUAUUGGGCGUAAAGAGCGUGUAGGCGGUCCGGUAAGUCAGCUGUGAAAGUCAAGGGCUCAACCCUUGAAUGCCGGUUGAUACUGUCGGGCUAGAGUCCGGAAGAGGCGAGUGGAAUUCCCGGUGUAGCGGUGAAAUGCGCAGCAUAUCGGGAAGGAACGACCAAUGGCGAAGGCGCAGCUCGCUGGGACGGUACGUAG